rnacentral:lncRNA from 1 species
GAGGCCUUUCAGCAAGGAGCCACUUGAUCAUGGUGCUUCCUGAAGUCUGCUAGAACCUCAGCGUGCCAGCCCUGGAGGUCAGAGAGGACACAGCAGGGACCAGAGAGGUGUCGGGGUGCCGGAAAACUCUGUUCACGCUGGAACAACACUGGUUUCUGUGCCACUGGGCGUAAGCAGAGCAGAGCAGAAGCCAAAAGGGCUGGCAUGCUAUGGCCCAGAUUGGGCCUUGUCUUAGUCUUCUUUUCCCCUGCCUCACCUCCAUCCUUUUUUCAUGUUGCUUUAACAAAACACCUGAGACUGGGAAAGUUAUAAACCACAGAAGCUUAUUGGCUCAUAGCUCUGGUGGAGAGAGCUGCAAGGAGUUUGGAAAGAAGGUCUUGCCUGCUGCUGGCAACAAUCCAAGGUCCUCAUUUCUUCCCACUCCGGCACCAGCUUGCCAAGUUAGCCCCCAGGUCUCUUUCUCCUGCAAACACGGCCCUGGUCUAGACAGAAGAACUGUAUCAGCCAAUUACCAGCCCCUGGAAAAGAGCCUCAGCCCGACAUGUGGGGACGAAGCCAAGAGUCGUAGUCUGGCCCCUAGACAGAACAGCACAGCCACGCAUCCCUUCCACUCUCUA